rnacentral:rRNA from 1 species
UGAGUGCGAGUUGCUACGGCAACGAAGUUGGUGACGUCAAGCUUCCAAGAAAAGCCCUAUACCCGUUAAGGCAUCAUGGCCUGUACCCGAAACCGACACAGGUGGGGUGGUAGAGAAUACCGAGGGGCGCGAGGUAACUCUCUCUAAGGAACUCGGCAAAAUGGCCCCGUAACUUCGGGAGAAGGGGUGCCACCGCAAGGUGGUCGCAGUGAAGAGGCCCAGGCGACUGUUUACCAAAAACACAGGUCUCCGCUAAGUCGCAAGACGAUGUAUGGGGGCUGACGCCUGCCCAGUGCCGGAAGGUUAAGGAAGCCGGUUAGCGUAAGCGAAGCUGGCGACUGAAGCCCCGGUGAACGGCGGCCGUAACAAUAACGGUCAUAAGGUAGCGAAAUUCCUUGUCGGGUAAGUUCCGACCCGCACGAAAGGCGUAACGAUCUGGGCGCUGUCUCGGAGAGAGGCUCGGCGAAAUAGAAUUGUCUGUGAAGAUGCGGACUACGUGCACCCGGACAGAAAGACCCUAUGAAGCUUUACUGUAGCUUGGUAUUGUGCUCGGGCUCGGAAUGCGCAGGAUAGGUGGGAGGCUAUGAACCAUUGCUUGCGGGUGAUGGUGAGCCACUGGUGAGAUACCACUCUUUCCGAGCUAGAGUUCUAACGGCCACCCGUUAUCCGGGGGCCGGACAGUAUCAGGUGGGCAGUUUGACUGGGGCGGUCGCCUCCUAAAAGGUAACGGAGGCGCGCAAAGGUUUGCUCAGGCUGGUUGGAAAUCAGCCGACGAGUGUAAAAGCAGAAGCAAGCUUGACUGUGAGACCUACAAGUCGAACAGGGAGGAAACUCGGCUUUAGUGAUCCGACGGUUCUGCGUGGAAGGGCCGUCGCUCAACGGAUAAAAGUUACUCUAGGAUAACAGGCUGAUCUCCCCCAAGAGUUCACAUCGACGGGGAGGUUUGGCACCUCGAUGUCGGCUCAUCGCAACCUGGGGCUGAAGUCGGUCCCAAGGGUUGGGCUGUUCGCCCAUUAAAGCGGUACGCGAGCUGGGUUCAGAACGUCGUGAGACAGUUCGGUCCAUAUCCGGUGCAUGCGCAGGAAUAUUGAGAGGAUUUCUCCCUAGUACGAGAGGACCGGGAGGAACGCACCUCUGGUGUACCAGUUAUCGUGCCAACGGUAAACGCUGGGUAGCCAUGUGCGGAGAGGAUAACCGCUGAAAGCAUCUAAGUGGGAAGCCCACCUCAAGAUGAGUAUUCCCAUGGCGUUAGCCAGUAAGGUCACGGGAAGAACACCCGUUGAUAGGCUCUAUGUGGAAGCGCAGUAAUGCGUGAAGCAGAGGAGUACUAAUAGACCGAGGGCUUGAGC